rnacentral:rRNA from 1 species
UAGGGAAUCUUCGGCAAUGGGGGGAACCCUGACCGAGCAACGCCGCGUGAGUGAAGAAGGUUUUCGGAUCGUAAAGCUCUGUUGUUAAGGAAGAACGAGUGUGAGAAUGGAAAGUUCAUGCUGUGACGGUACUUAACCAGAAAGGGACGGCUAACUACGUGCCAGCAGCCGCGGUAAUACGUAGGUCCCGAGCGUUGUCCGGAUUUAUUGGGCGUAAAGCGAGCGCAGGCGGUUAGAAAAGUCUGAAGUGAAAGGCAGUGGCUCAACCAUUGUAGGCUUUGGAAACUGUUUAACUUGAGUGCAGAAGGGGAGGGUGGAAUUCCAUGUGUAGCGGUGAAAUGCGUAGAUAUAUGGAGGAACACCGGUGGCGAAAGCGGCUCUCUGGUCUGUAACUGACGCAAAGGCUAGAAAGCGUGGGGAGCGAACAGG